UCGGCCCGUAAAUAUUGACGACGUAGAGCUUCACCGCMGGGUUGGGCUGACCCGCCUGCAGCAACAGAACAGAUGCUGUAAGACGCCAUGAAGGAGUGACGAUAAACCUGUGAGAAGAACAGAAAACACUGAAUCCAUCAGAGGAACUGAGCGAAGCUUCCUGAAGGUCUGAGGUCAAACCUCCCAUCAGGAGCAGGAUUCAUUCAGGCUGACUUCAUUACUAAACACAGCUAAUAAAGUUUAUACACAGAA